rnacentral:rRNA from 1 species
AGGGGGGACGAACAGUUGGAAACGACUGCUAAUACCGCAUACGAUCUAAUCUCGGCAUCGAGGGAAAAGAAUGAAAGGUGGGCCUCUAUUUAUAAGCUAUCACUGAAGGAGGGGGAUUGCGUCUGAUUAGCUAGUUGGAGGGGGUAACGGGCCCACCAAGGCGAUGAUCAGUAGCCGGUCUGAGAGGAUGAACGGCCACAUUGGGACUGAGACACGGCCCAGACUCCUACGGGAGGCAGCAUG